AUGGCCGCACUCAAAGACAUGUCUCCAGUUGCGAUCUUGGGGAGGAAACAUCCUCUCCUUUCUCAGGAGAUUGAGAAGUAUUCCAAGAAAUGGAAUAAGCGGACGGGUAAAGCUCAGUCACCCUGGCCAUCCGAUGGAACAUUCGAUCAUGAGCAAUGUGUGGAGAUGGAAGUGUUAAUAAAAAAUUACAAAAUAAAAGAUAAAUCUGCCAAGCGACUGUGUAAACGUGAGCGUGAGGUUGCAAUGCUAAAGUUAUUCACAGAUCAAGCCCAACUCCUGAGGGAGAAAACAGCUGAAUAUGUAAAAAAACAGAUUGAGCGGAGAAAAGAGGAGAGAAAAAAGGGAGAAUCCUUAAAAGCAGAGCCCCCAUCUUAUGCUGCACAGAUGCCGGUGCGGGAGAUCAGACUAUUAGGAGACUAUUCACUUAGGUCCGGUAAAUCAGGUAAAAGCAUCUAUCCCAUUGAGGAGUUAAAGAAGGUCAGGGAAAGAGAGAGAGAGCUAGAUGACAUAGAAGACUUACCUGCCACGUAUGCUAAAGCAGUUCAGCUUGCAGGGAAAGACACUCGUCGUAUUAGUGGCUUACAUGAUAAAGUAAUGCAUGACAUAAAACAAUCUGAGUGUGCAGAGGACGACAGCGAGGGCGAGGAGCAAGGCGAAGAAGAAGGAGCAACUGGGGAGAGUGAAAGAGUCCGAAGAUCCCUGGCAGAGGUACAGUACUCUAAAUUGCCAGAUCCAAGUAUGGUCUCUACCCCUCGCUAUCUGCAGGCUGGAGCUAAGCCCAAGCAGGCCAGGAUAAAGGAAAAGAUGCCCCGUCCUGAGGCCUUUGCCCCUGGCAGUGAAGUAGUAGAGGAGCAUGGACAGAUGGAAGGCGUCAUCACGCUCAGCUCCAAGGGACAUCCAGUGUCAGCAGAGGUAGUAGAGGAGGCGUCCGAAUACCCCCUGCUGGCAAAUCUGCAAUAUGUGCCCUGGCCAACCAUGGAUCUGGAAGGGCUGGUGCAGAGACUGCCAUGUCUGCUUGAUUGCGCCGGGAAAUGGGUAGCAGCCUUCGAAGAAGAAACCAUAGCCACCAUCCUGGCAGUGGGUGACCUCAAGGCCCUCCUUGGGAAGGUGCUGGGGAAGCAAGAGAUGGAGGAGACGCUGAGAUCGGCGCAGAUGAAUGCAUAUGCAGAAGCAGCAGGAUGA
rnacentral:lncRNA from 1 species